UACAUUAAAUGGACAUCCCUGAAUAUCUGAAUUUAAAAAGUAGGUGAAACAAAAUUUCAAUAAAAAUGGGAAUACCAAAUCGCUGGCACAUUCGAAUGAGAACCUGGACGAAAAUUUGUUGGCUACUACAGCCACCGAUGAACUGCAGCUGAUGCAGAUGAUUAUAUUUAUUUAACCUUUUUUGUUUGCAUGUUUCAUGAAACGAGUAUGUAUACAUAUAAUUAUUUUCAAAGAAUUAAAUAAAAA